GGGGCGAGGGGGAGAGUGUCCUCGCGUCGCUCCUUCGAACCUCCCCCGGGGGGCUUCAGCCUCUAACACCUGUGUGCACCCGCUGUAGGUCCUUAGGGACCUAUGUCUUCUUCGAACUCGCAUGUCUACAGAAUGUCGUCCGUGGCGCAGGCCACCGUGAAUGUAAUACAACUUUCAGCAAUGGAUCUCUUGGCUCUCGCAUCGAUGAAGGACGCAGCGAAUCGCGAUAAGUAAUGUGAAUUGCAGAUUUUCCGUGAAUCAUCGAAUCUUUGAACGCACCUUGCGCUCCUCGGUAUUCCGAGGAGCAUGCCUGUUUGAGUGUCAUCGAAAUAUCAGAUCGUAGCUUUCGACCGUGUCGGAGCUCGGUUUGGACCCAUGGGAGUCUGCGGGCUGACCUCCCGUCGGGGAGGAAGGUCGGCUCUCCUCAAAAGCAUUAGCGGCGGGUGCGAGCCUCGCAUGGCACGGCCUCUUCGACGUCAUAAUGACCGUCGUGGGCUGAAAGUGCGUGUAUCGAACGUGUCCCCGUCGCUUUCCAACUCUGCGAGCCCGUUCUGCGGACGGCCGCGCGUUAUCGACGUUUGACCUCAAAUCAGGUAGGACUACCCGCUGAACUUAAGCAUAUC
rnacentral:rRNA from 1 species